rnacentral:piRNA from 1 species
UGCCCUUGAACUUGUUCUACUGAGCGGUGUU